GCUGCUGUAGCUUAGUUGAUAAAGCACUCCCUUGGUAAGGGAGAGACCGUGGGUUUGAGUCCCACCAGUAGCUCCA
rnacentral:tRNA from 1 species